GAUGAAGAACGUAGCGAAAUGCGAUAAGUAGUGUGAAUUGCAGAAUUCAGUGAAUCAUCGAAUCUUUGAACGCACAUUGCGCCCCUUGGGACUCCAUGGGGCAUGCCUGUUCGAGCGUCAUUUACACCCUCAAGCUCAGCUUGGUGUUGGGCGUCUGUCCCGCUUCGUGCGCGGACUCGCCUCAAAUGCAUUGGCAGCGGUCUUGCCAGCUUCUCGCGCAGCACAUUGCGCUUCUAGAGGCUUUGGCGGAUCGGCGUCCAUCAAGUACACCCACAGUUUGACCUCGGAUCAGGUAGGGAUACCCGCUGAACUUAAGCAUAUCAAUAAGCGGAGGA
rnacentral:misc_RNA from 1 species